AUUGAACGCUGGCGGCAGGCUUAACACAUGCAAGUCGAGCGGGGAAAGGUAGCUUGCUACCUGACCUAGCGGCGGAUGGGUGAGUAAUGCUUAGGAAUCUGCCUAUUAGUGGGGGACAACAUUCCGAAAGGAAUGCUAAUACCGCAUACGCCCUACGGGGGAAAGCAGGGGAUCUUCGGACCUUGCGCUAAUAGAUGAGCCUAAGUCAGAUUAGCUAGUUGGUGGGGUAAAGGCCUACCAAGGCGACGAUCUGUAGCGGGUCUGAGAGGAUGAUCCGCCACACUGGGACUGAGAAACGGCCCAGACUCCUACGGGAGGCAGCAGUGGGGAAUAUUGGACAAUGGGCGAAAGCCUGAUCCAGCCAUGCCGCGUGUGUGAAGAAGGCCUUUUGGUUGUAAAGCACUUUAAGCGAGGAGGAGGCUACUUAGAUUAAUACUCUAGGAUAGUGGACGUUACUCGCAGAAUAAGCACCGGCUAACUCCGUGCCAGCAGCCGCGGUAACAC
rnacentral:rRNA from 1 species